rnacentral:rRNA from 1 species
CCUACGGGAGGCAGCAGUGAGGAAUAUUGGUCAAUGGGCGCGAGCCUGAACCAGCCAAGUAGCGUGAAGGAUGACUGCCCUACGGGUUGUAAACUUCUUUUAUAAAGGAAUAAAGUGAGGCACGUGUGCCUUUUUGUAUGUACUUUAUGAAUAAGGAUCGGCUAACUCCUUGCCAGCAGCCGCGGUAAUACGGAGGAUCCGAGCGUUAUCCGGAUUUAUUGGGUUUAAAGGGAGCGUAGAUGGGCUGUUAAGUCAGUUGUGAAAGUUUGCGGCUCAACCGUAAAAGUGCAAUUGAUACUGGGUGCCUUGAGUACAGUGGAGGUAGGCGGAAUGCGUGGUGUAGCGGUGAAAUGCUUAGAUAUCACGAAGAACUCCGAUUGCGAAGGCAGCCUACUAAACUGUCACUGACGCUGAUGCUCGAAAGUGUGGGUAUCAAACAGGAUUAGAUACCCGGGUAGUC